GUAUUUCUGAUGACAAUGUAUUGGAGGAAAGCCGCAGACAGAAUGCUCUCUCUAGCACCACCCCACACAACCGUUACCUCCGAAAUGUGGCCCAGAACACUUCAGAGGAGGAGAAAGAGGAGGACAGAGGCCUGCAGAAUCUGGGACUUGCCAAAGGUUUUUUUGACACCAGGAGAAAGAAACUAUUGCUGAAGGAGUCCGACACCAAAAAGAAGCGGAUGCCAAGACUGGCUCCUCGGAUUGGGGUGUGGUUUUAAUAAUUCUUACAAUAUACAAUAUAUUUUGUGUGUUGUCUUUACUGUUCACUUUCUAAAAAAAAAAAUAGGGGAUAUACGUAAAGACUGUCAUGGCUAUUAAGUACUUUCACACAAAUUAUUCAAAUUAUUCUUUUUAAAAAGCCCACAUAGAAAGCUUCUUUCUAAAUGUUCUGCUUUGACAUGUUGCAUUCAUAGUGUUGUCAAAGCCCGUAUAAAUUGUAAUCACAUCUGCUUAGUGUAAUUAUUGUAACCUUUUCUAUUGUGUUUUUUGGCAACGCCCCGAAUUUGGAACAAGCCAAGUUGCAUUUCACCAACUCAUGAUUUUCCCAAUGUUUCAUUAUCCUGAUGAUUUGUAAAAAGCAAUCACACUCACUUUUGUACUUACUUUAUUCAUUGCUUUUGAGCAUAUUGUAGGGCAUCCCCCUCCAUCGCUGUGGAGUUGAAAACAGUCCGUUCAUGAAGGGGCCUAAACACAUCACUCAUUAAAUAAUCAAACCCAACUUUUUAAACAGAUCUCUUAAUUAUUCUCUAAAGGUAUGUUUAUGGUACUUGUCUGUUUUCAGUAGUUUGAUAUAUUUUUGAUGAAGAAAAUAUUUCAUUAUAAAUAUAAAAGUGAGGCACUUUAAAGUUUGUGUGUUUGCUGGUGAAUUAUGCAUUUUGUAUUAAAUGAUUCAGUACAAACUCAGGAUUGACGUGCAAAAGAUGCUUGAAAAAGUAAUCAUGGAAGUGAAAUAAAGAGGCAGGAUGAUGAAAGAAGGUAGAACAGGUCGGACUAGAGGUUGGAAAGUGAGCAGGACAAGGGAGAAAAAUAGGGGGAAAGGAUUUUUAAAUUAUUCAUUUACUAAUGUGAGAGAACACGUUUUCACCAGUCUGCCUUUUGAUCCAGUCUUAAGCACAGUAUUAAUAUUUCAGAAAAUACUCCAGAUGUGGUAUGUUCUACCAGAACUGGGAGCAUGGCUUUAAUUUUACUCUGACUACUGCAUAUGUUUCAUUACGAUUUUGAAACAGAAACCCAAAUCUGUGCAAAAGCAUAGUUGCCAAAUACAAAAAGAAUGAAAGAGAUUAUAGACACAUUUUUAGUAAUACACCGAAAAGCUUCUACAGUACUCUGAUGUGUUUUAGUACAUUUUUGCUGAUGCCUAAUUAAUAUGUAUUAUUUGUUGAUACAUAUUUAUGCUGUUAAUUGGUAUUGGUGUGAACUGAGGCACUUUGUUUUAAUGCUGUUUCAUUUUCUGCUGUACAGAAAUAACCAAUAAAUUGUGUUCCCUUUCGUAGUCA